GGCCACUUCAGCAGCUCAUAUACCAACACUGGAACAAUAGAGAGAUUAACAAGGUCUCUGUGUAAAGAUGGCAUAUAAAUUUGUGAUACAUUCUACGUAUUU